UGAGGGAUAUUGCACAAUGGGGGAAACCCUGAUGCAGCAACGCCGCGUGAAGGAAGAAGUAUUUCGGUAUGUAAACUUCUAUCGAUGGGGACGAAAUAAAUGACGGUACCCAAGUAAGAAGCCCCGGCUAAAUACGUGCCAGCAGCCGCGGUAAUACGUAUGGGGCAAGCGUUAUCCGGAUUUACUGGGUGUAAAGGGUGAGUAGGCGGCUUAUUAAGUCAUAUGUGAAAUUUCGGGGCUCAACCCCGGAACUGCAUAAGAAACUGGUAAGCUAGAGUGCAGGAGAGGUAAGCGGAAUUCCCAGUGUAGCGGUGAAAUGCGUAGAUAUUGGGAGGAACACCGGUGGCGAAGGCGGCUUACUGGACUGAAACUGACGCUGAGUCACGAAAGCGUGGGGAGC
rnacentral:rRNA from 1 species